AGUGGGAUAGCUGGGUCAAAUGGUGGUUUUACUCCAAGUUUUCCAAGGAAUCACCAUACUGCUUUCCAUAUUGGCUGCACCACUUUGCAGCCCCACCAGCAGU
rnacentral:pre_miRNA from 1 species